AUGAACGAGAACUGGAUUAGGGCGGUGGCCAGACUGCAGACCAUUCAGCAGCUAGGUGAAUUCGUGUCUCUUUCGAACCACAUUAGUCAGAUCACCCUCCUCCCUGACCAAGAGGACACCAUUCACUGGAACUUAACCACCUCGGGGACUUACUCGGCCGCCUCUGCCUACGGCGCGCAGUUCUUCGGCUCCUACUCACGUUUCGACACGACCAAGGUCUGGUCCGCAAACGCUGAGCCCAAGUGCAAGUUCUUUGCAUGGCUAGCUCUGCACGGAAGAAUUCCCACUGCGGAUAUGCUGGCCGUGAGGGGAUGGCCUCACGAUCCCAGAUGCAUGCUCUGUCUUCAGUAG
rnacentral:rRNA from 1 species